rnacentral:rRNA from 1 species
UGGGGAAUAUUGGGCAAUGGAGGAAACUCUGACCCAGCAACGCCGCGUGAAUGAUGAAGGUUUUCGGAUUGUAAAGUUCUUUUCUAAGGGAAGAAGAAAGUGACGGUACCUUAGGAAUAAGCCUCGGCUAACUACGUGCCAGCAGCCGCGGUAAUACGUAGGAGGCAAGCGUUAUCCGGAAUGACUGGGCGUAAAGGGUGCGUAGGUGGUUUGGCAAGUUGGCGGCGUAACUCCGAGGCUCAACCUCGGAACUACCGCCAAAACUGUUGAACUUGAGUGCAGGAGGGGCAAUUGGAAUUCCUAGUGUAGCGGUGGAAUGCGUAGAUAUUAGGAGGAACACCAGUGGCGAAGGCGAAUUGCUGGACUGUAACUGACACUGAGGCACGAAAGCGUGGGGAGCAAACA